GGUUAAGUUAGAAAGGGCGCACGGUGGAUGCCUUGACACUAGGAGUCGAUGAAGGACGGGACUAACGCCGAUAUGCUUCGGGGAGCUGUAAGUAAGCUUUGAUCCGAAGAUUUCCGAAUGGGGAAACCCACCAUACGUAAUGGUAUGGUAUCCUUAUCUGAAUACAUAGGGUAAGGAAGACAGACCCAGGGAACUGAAACAUCUAAGUACCUGGAGGAAGAGAAAGCAAAUGCGAUUUCCUGAGUAGCGGCGAGCGAAACGGAACAUAGCCCAAACCAAGAGGCUUGCCUCUUGGGGUUGUAGGACAUUCUAUACGGAGUUACAAAGGAACGAGGUAGACGAAGCGACCUGGAAAGGUCCGUCGUAGAGGGUAACAACCCCGUAGUCGAAACUUCGUUCUCUCUUGAAUGUAUCCUGAGUACGGCGGAACACGUGAAAUUCCGUCGGAAUCUGGGAGGACCAUCUCCCAAGGCUAAAUACUCCCUAGUGAUCGAUAGUGAACCAGUACCGUGAGGGAAAGGUGAAAAGCACCCCGGAAGGGGAGUGAAAGAGAUCCUGAAAACCGUGUGCCUACAAAUAGUCAGAGCCCGUUAACGGGUGAUGGCGUGCCUUUUGUAGAAUGAACCGGCGAGUUACGAUCCCGUGCGAGGUUAAGCUGAAGAGGCGGAGCCGCAGCGAAAGCGAGUCUGAAUAGGGCGUUUAGUACGUGGUCGUAGACCCGAAACCAGGUGAUCUACCCAUGUCCAGGGUGAAGUUCAGGUAACACUGAAUGGAGGCCCGAACCCACGCACGUUGAAAAGUGCGGGGAUGAGGUGUGGGUAGCGGAGAAAUUCCAAUCGAACCUGGAGAUAGCUGGUUCUCCCCGAAAUAGCUUUAGGGCUAGCCUUAAGUGUAAGAGUCUUGGAGGUAGAGCACUGAUUGGACUAGGGGUCCUCAUCGGAUUACCGAAUUCAGUCAAACUCCGAAUGCCAAUGACUUAUCCUUAGGAGUCAGACUGCGAGUGAUAAGAUCCGUAGUCAAAAGGGAAACAGCCCAGACCGCCAGCUAAGGUCCCAAAGUGUGUAUUAAGUGGAAAAGGAUGUGGAGUUGCUUAGACAACUAGGAUGUUGGCUUAGAAGCAGCCACCAUUUAAAGAGUGCGUAAUAGCUCACUAGUCGAGUGACUCUGCGCCGAAAAUGUACCGGGGCUAAAUACACCACCGAAGCUGCGGAUUGAUACCAAUGGUAUCAGUGGUAGGGGAGCGUUCUAAGGACAGUGAAGUCAGACCGGAAGGACUGGUGGAGUGCUUAGAAGUGAGAAUGCCGGUAUGAGUAGCGAAAGACGGGUGAGAAUCCCGUCCACCGAAUGCCUAAGGUUUCCUGAGGAAGGCUCGUCCGCUCAGGGUUAGUCAGGACCUAAGCCGAGGCCGACAGGCGUAGGCGAUGGACAACAGGUUGAUAUUCCUGUACCACCUCUUUAUCGUUUGAGCAAUGGAGGGACGCAGAAGGAUAGAAGAAGCGUGCGAUUGGUUGUGCACGUCCAAGCAGUUAGGCUGAUAAGUAGGCAAAUCCGCUUAUCGUGAAGGCUGAGCUGUGAUGGGGAAGCUCCUUAUGGAGCGAAGUCUUUGAUUCCCCGCUGCCAAGAAAAGCUUCUAGCGAGAUAAAAGGUGCCUGUACCGCAAACCGACACAGGUAGGCGAGGAGAGAAUCCUAAGGUGUGCGAGAGAACUCUGGUUAAGGAACUCGGCAAAAUGACCCCGUAACUUCGGGAGAAGGGGUGCUUUCUUAACGGAAAGCCGCAGUGAAUAGGCCCAAGCGACUGUUUAGCAAAAACACAGCUCUCUGCGAAGCCGUAAGGCGAAGUAUAGGGGGUGACACCUGCCCGGUGCUGGAAGGUUAAGGAGAGGGGUUAGCGUAAGCGAAGCUCUGAACUGAAGCCCCAGUAAACGGCGGCCGUAACUAUAACGGUCCUAAGGUAGCGAAAUUCCUUGUCGGGUAAGUUCCGACCCGCACGAAAGGUGUAACGAUUUGGGCACUGUCUCAACCAGAGACUCGGUGAAAUUAUAGUACCUGUGAAGAUGCAGGUUACCCGCGACAGGACGGAAAGACCCCGUGGAGCUUUACUGUAGCCUGAUAUUGAAUUUUGGUACAGUUUGUACAGGAUAGGCGGGAGCCUUUGAAACCGGAGCGCUAGCUUCGGUGGAGGCGCUGGUGGGAUACCGCCCUGACUGUAUUGAAAUUCUAACCUACGGGUCUUAUCGACCCGGGAGACAGUGUCAGGUGGGCAGUUUGACUGGGGCGGUCGCCUCCUAAAGUGUAACGGAGGCGCCCAAAGGUUCCCUCAGAAUGGUUGGAAAUCAUUCGUAGAGUGCAAAGGCAUAAGGGAGCUUGACUGCGAGACCUACAAGUCGAGCAGGGACGAAAGUCGGGCUUAGUGAUCCGGUGGUUCCGCAUGGAAGGGCCAUCGCUCAACGGAUAAAAGCUACCCCGGGGAUAACAGGCUUAUCUCCCCCAAGAGUCCACAUCGACGGGGAGGUUUGGCACCUCGAUGUCGGCUCAUCGCAUCCUGGGGCUGUAGUCGGUCCCAAGGGUUGGGCUGUUCGCCCAUUAAAGCGGUACGCGAGCUGGGUUCAGAACGUCGUGAGACAGUUCGGUCCCUAUCCGUCGUGGGCGUAGGAAAUUUGAGAGGAGCUGUCCUUAGUACGAGAGGACCGGGAUGGACGCACCGCUGGUGUACCAGUUGUUCUGCCAAGGGCAUAGCUGGGUAGCUAUGUGCGGAAGGGAUAAGUGCUGAAAGCAUCUAAGCAUGAAGCCCCCCUCAAGAUGAGAUUUCCCAUAGCGUAAGCUAGUAAGAUCCCUGAAAGAUGAUCAGGUUGAUAGGUUCGAGGUGGAAGCAUGGUGACAUGUGGAGCUGACGAAUACUAAUAGAUCGAGGACUUAACCAU
rnacentral:rRNA from 1 species